AAAAAACUCAGAGGAAUUGCAGAUUCCAAUAAAGGCCUUGGGAACAGGAAGCAGUCAAAAAGGAGAGAAGGUCUACAAACGCCCCAGCUCUCCCACCCAGAAGACAGCUAUGGUGAAAUCGACCCAGAAAUCCAGCCACCAAAAAAAGUUCUGUUUCUCUCUUGGGAACUCUGUGUGGCUGUUUGUCAGGUACUUACUGUGCUAUGCCUGCUUGUACUUAACGCUACUCUUGAUUUAUAAACACCUACCUGAUGGUAUCUGGGUAUACCAGCUGGACAUGCCAG